AGCAGCCGCGGUAAUUCCAGCUCCAAUAGCGUAUAUUAAAGUUGUUGCAGUUAAAAAGCUCGUAGUUGAAUUUUGGGUUUGGCCAAUUGGUCCGUUCUUGUAACGAGUACUGGUUGGUUGGGCCUCACCGCCUGGUGAUACGUAAUGUCCUUUAUUGGGUGUUGCGAGUAGCCAGGACCUUUACCUUGAAAAAACUAGAGUGUUUAAAGCAGGCUUAUGCCGGAAUACAUUAGCAUGGAAUAAUAGAAUAGGACGAUGAUUCUAUUUUGUUGGUUUCUAGGAGCAUCGUAAUGAUUAAUAGGGAUAGUUGGGGGCAUUAGUAUUCAAUUGUCAGAGGUGAAAUUCUUGGAUUUAUUGAAGACUAACUACUGCGAAAGCAUUUGCCAAGGAUGUUUUCAUUAAUCAAGAACGAAAGUUAGGGGAUCGAAGACGAUCAGAUACCGUCGUAGUCUUAACCAUAAACUAUGCCGACUAGGGAUCGGGCGAUGUUGUUUCAAUGACUCG
rnacentral:rRNA from 1 species